rnacentral:ncRNA from 1 species
UCGGUCCCGGUUCACGUCCAUCUUGGGCGACCCGGGCC